UACGGGGGGAGCAAGCGUUGUUCGGAUUUACUGGGCGUAAAGGGCGCGUAGGCGGCGCAGCAAGUCACUUGUGAAAUCUCCGGGCUUAACCCGGAGCGGCCAAGUGAUACUGUCGUGCUAGAGUGCGGAAGGGGCUACUGGAAUUCUCGGUGUAGCGGUGAAAUGCGUAGAUAUCGAGAGGAACACCUGCGGCGAAGGCGGGUUGCUGGGCCGACACUGACGCUGAUGCGCGAAAGCCAGGGGAGCGAACGGG
rnacentral:rRNA from 1 species